CUUCAGCUGACGAGUCCCGUAUAGAACAAAAUACGUGUCCUGGAU
rfam:Schistosoma rodhaini strain Burundi genome assembly, scaffold: SROB_scaffold0013645